rnacentral:rRNA from 1 species
AGAGUUUGAUCAUGGCUCAGGACGAACGCUGGCGGCGUGCUUAACACAUGCAAGUCGAACGGGGAGCGCAGCAAUGUGCUCCAAGUGGCGAACGGGUGAGUAACGCGUAGACAACCUACCUUCUAGAUGGGGACAACACCGCGAAAGUGGUGCUAAUACCGAAUGUUGUAACGGCAGUGCCUGCUGCUGUUACUAAAGGUGGCCUCUAUUCAUAAGCUACCGCUAGAAGACGGGUCUGCGUCUGAUUAGCUAGUAGGCGGGGUAAAAGCCCACCUAGGCGACGAUCAGUAGCCGGUCUGAGAGGAUGAACGGCCACACUGGGACUGAGACACGGCCCAGACUCCUACGGGAGGCAGCAGUGGGGAAUCUUCCGCAAUGGACGAAAGUCUGACGGAGCAACGCCGCGUGAGUGACGAAGGCCUUCGGGUUGUAAAGCUCUGUUGUCAGGGAAGAACACUCUUGAUGUGAACAAUGUGAAGAGAUGACGGUACCUGACGAGGAAGCCACGGCUAACUACGUGCCAGCAGCCGCGGUAAUACGUAGGUGGCGAGCGUUGUCCGGAAUUAUUGGGCGUAAAGCGCGCGCAGGCGGGAUAUUAAGUCUCAUUUAAAAGUGCGGGGCUCAACCCCGUGAUGGGUGAGAAACUAAUAUUCUUGAGUGCCGGAGAGGAAAGCGGAAUUCCCAGUGUAGCGGUGAAAUGCGUAGAUAUUGGGAGGAACACCAGUGGCGAAGGCGGCUUUCUGGACGGUGUCUGACGCUGAGGCGCGAAAGCCAGGGGAGCGAACGGGAUUAGAUACCCCGGUAGUCCUGGCGGUAAACGAUGGGUACUAGGUGGUAGGGGGUAUCGACCCCCCCUGUGCCGGAGUUAACGCAAUAAGUACCCCGCCUGGGGAGUACGGCCGCAAGGUUGAAACUCAAAUGAAUUGACGG